rnacentral:piRNA from 1 species
UUCAUGACUCAAUUUUUUUUC